AAAACCCUAUCUCUAAUGAUCAACACUAAAACUGGAGAAGGUUCGAACUAUUACCUCAAAAUGAAGUCUCUGAACUCUGGAACUACUAGAAUCGCACCUCCUCUUGCUCUUGGUCACCUUCUUCUUGCUAAACCAAAGGUACAAGGAUCAAAUGUGACUUCUUCUUCCUCACAACGAUUUGGCUCACUUAGGGUUCUCUCAAGGGACUGGUAGCCGCAAUGGGAGGCUAUAAGUGCCCUUAAAUAGGCCCCAAACCCGGGGGGUUAGGGUUUCAUUAAAUAGCGUGGACGCGUCGAGUCCACGAAUGGACUCGCCGAGUCCGGAUGUGAACCCGGAUGAACAUCCGCGACCAUACUCGGCGAGUCUUGGCACCAACUCGCCGAGUUCCUCCACAAACUCCAAAAUAAUUAAAUAAAAUAAUAUACCUGGAAAUCCGGAUGUUACAAUUCUCCCCCACUAGAAUAAGACUUCGUCCUCGAAGUCUCACUCUGAAAACAACUUCGGAUGCUGCUCACGCAUCUCACGCUCCGGCUCCCAAGUAAGCUCUGACCCUUUCCGAUGCUGCCACUGGACCUGCACCAGAGGCACUUCCUUGUUCCUCAGAACCUUGAUCUUUCGAUCCUGAAUCGCCCCCAGUCUCUCAACAUAGUUCAGGCCCACAUCCACCUGAAUAUCCUCUAAUGGAACCACCGCCGACUCGUCGGCUAUACACUCUCUCAGCUGCGACAUCUGGAAGGUGUUGUAAAUCUGAUCCAGCUCUGCAGGUAGCUCCAACCGGUAGGCUAACCUGCCUACCCUCACGAUCACCCUAAAAGGACCGAUAUAUCGGGGUCCCAACUUGCCCCUCUUCCUGAAUCUAGACAUGCACAAAGACCCGAUCCGAUCCGAUCCGAUCCGGUUUGAUUAUGUCACGCCCAAUCCGAUUCAACCUUUAAUCCGAACCGGUUUCAAACCGGAUUUGACCGGUUUUCCAAGCCCCGCAUCCGAUUCGGUUUAAUCCGAUCCGAUCCGAUUUUCUCUAUUUUUUUUAAAUACACAUUUUUUGGACCUCAAAUAUAACACAAAAUGCAACAUUGGUACAUUUUUUUGAGUAUUAUGAAAAUAAGUAGUAAAUUUUUUGUGUAAAAUUGAAAUGUAGCAAAUGAAAGGUAUAUGUAGGUGUUUAGAAGUGCAAAAAAGUAAAAAAAAAAGUAAAAGUAGCCGUUUUUUUAAGUUCUAACGGCUAGUUUUUAAAAAAAAAAUCCAAAUUUUCCCGUUUUUUAACGGUAACAAUAAAAUCCUGUUUUGGAUCCGGUUCGGUCAAAAUCCGGUUCUCAAUCCGGGGGUCUAAUCCGAUUCACUAUCCGAAGUCUCGAUCCGGUUUCAAUCCGGUGGCCGGUUCAAUCCGAUCCGGUUCGGUCAAAACCGGUUUUGACCAAAUCCGGUUUUCAGAUCGGAUCGGAUCCUAUAGCCCAAACCGGUUUUUGUGUGCAUGACUACCUGAAUCGGAUCACUCCUUUCCAAGGAGAGACCUUUAGGAGUACGAAGUCGCCGACCUGGAACUCGAGCUCGGACCGGCGCCUGUCCGCAUAACUCUUCUGACGACUCUGAGCGGUCAAUAACCUCUGCCAGACCUGGUGAAUCUGCUCAGUCGUCUGACGCACGAUCUUGGGAUUACCCAUCACACGCUGCCCUACUUCUCCCCAGCAAAUGGGGGUCCGACACCUCCUCCCAUACAACAGCUCAAAGGGUGGCAUACCAAUGCUCGAAUGAUGGCUGUUCUUGUAGGAAAACUCUGCCAAGGGCAAAUAUGUGUCCCAACUCCCGCCGAAAUCCAACACACAUGCUCGGAGUAUAUCCUCGAGCGUCUGAAUCGUCCGCUCGCUCUGUCUAUCAAUCUGGGGGUGGUAUGCGGUAUUAAAAUGCAGCCUAGUACCCAAUUCCUCAUGAAAUUUCUUCCAGAAUCUGGAAGUGAAACGCACAUCUCGGUCUGAGACAAUCGAGACCGACACUCCAUGCCGUGAUACCAUUUCCCUCACAUACAUCUCUGCCAACUUUUCUGCGGAAGAGCUCUCACUGAUAGCGAGGAAAUGAGCGCUCUUUGUCAACCGGUCUACAAUCACCCAAAUUGCAUCGACGCCCCUCGCAGUCCUCUGCAAUUUGGUGAUAAAGCCCAUUGCAAUCUGUUCCCACUUCCACUCGGGAAUCUCUAAUGGCUGCAACUUGCCGUGCGGUCUCUGGUGCUCGGCCUUAACCCUGCGACAGAUUAGGCACCUAUCCACGAACCAUGCAACGUCCCUCUUCAUACAGGGCCACCAAUACUCCCUUUUCAGGUCCAAAUACAUCUUAGUGGCCCCAGGAUGGAUCGAGAACUUCGAUCGAUGUGCCUCCUCCAUCAAAAUGGUAUGCGUUCUGCCCACAAAUGGGACCCAAAUCCGACCCUAAAAUGUCAUGAACCCACGGCUAUCGGUAACGAACUCCGAUACUUGCCCGAUAACUCGCUAUCUCUUCUGGUUUUCUGGUCUGACGGCCUCGGUCCGAGCUCCUCGAAUGGUGUCCAACACUGGAGUCAUCACCGUUAAUCUCAUACAAAUGUCACGCAUCAGAACACUCUCCGCCCUACGACUCAAGGCAUCGGCUACCACGUUGGCCUUCCCCGGGGGAUACAGGAUCUCACAAUCAUAAUCCUUUACCACAUCCAGCCAUCUCCUCUGUCGCAUAUUCAGGUUGGUGUGAUCCACCAAGUACUUUAGGCUCUUGUGAUCCGUGUAUAUGGUACACCGGACCCCAUACAGAUAGUGACGCCAAAUCUUGAGGGCGAACAUUACUGCCCCCAACUCUAAAUCAUGAGUAGGAUAUCUCGCCUCAUGAGGCUUCAGCUGCCUCGAUGCAUAUGCUAUCACAUGGCCUCUCUGCAUAGGCACUGCUCCCAACCCUGAUAUCGACGCGUCACAAUAUACCACAAAAUCCUCCAUUCCCUCCGGAAGGGCUAACACCGGUGCUUCGCAUAGUCUUUGGCGAAGUGUCUCGAAGGAGGUCUGCUGCUCUGGACCCCAAGCAAAAGCUACACCCUUCCGGGUCAACUUAGUGAGUGGCACGGCGAUCUUGGAGAAAUCCCUGAUGAAUCUCCGGUAAUAGCCUGCCAGGACUAAGAAACUCCUGAUCUCCGUGGGUGACCUCGGCACCUCCCAACUCAUCACCGCCUCAAUCUUGGCCGGGUCGACCAAUAUCCCUUUCUUGUUAACGAGAUGUCCCAGGAACUGGACUUCUUGUAACCAGAAAUCACACUUGGAGAAUUUGGCAUAAAGCCUCUCUAAUCUCAAAACCCCUAGGAUCUCCCUUAGAUGCUUCUCAUGCUGCUCUUUACAUCUCGAAUACACCAAAAUGUCGUCGAUGAAUACGAUCACCAAGCGAUCCAACAUCGGUCUACACACCCUGUUCAUGAGAUCCAUGAACACCGUUGGUGUGUUGGUGAGCCCGAAAGGCAUCAUCACGAACUCGUAAUGCCCGUUACGAGCCUGAACGCUGUCUUCUGGAUAUCCUCAUCUCGCACCCUCACCUGAUGAUAUACAGACCUCAAAUUGAUCUUGGAGAACCAAGAUGCUCCCUGCAACUAAUCGAACAAAUCGUCAAUCCCCGGCAACGGGUAACGGUUCUUGACCGUCAAUUUGUUCAACUCCCGGUAAUCAAUGCACAUCCGGUGUGAACCAUCCUUUUUUCUUGACAAAAAGGAUAGGUGCUCCCCACGGCGAACUGCUCGGCCGUAUAAAUCUCUUCCCCAGCAGCUCCUGAAGCUGCGAGGACAACUCCUGCAUCUCUGGAGGUGCGAGGCGAUAGGGCGCCUUGGCGAUAGGCGCAACCCCCGGAACCAAAUCGAUACUGAACUCUACCUGCCUCUCGGGAGGUACACCCGGCAACUCCUCCGGGAAUACAUUUGGGAACUCACGCACUACCGGAACCUCUCCCAUAGAUCUCGGUCUCUCUGAUUCAACCCUUGCGUCCAUCAUAUACGCUAUGAAUCCCUUACAUCCCUGCUAAAGACUCUGCCUCGCCCUGGCGGUUGAGCAAAAUGCUAAACCGGAAUGUGUACCCUCGCCGUAUACCGUAAGAACUCCCCCACUAGGGUCUCGCAUGGUCACCAGCUGUCGCUCGCAACCGAUGAUCGCUCCAAAUCUGCUCAACCAGUCCAUGCCCACGAUGACACAGACAUCCCCCAUCGCAAUAGGGACCAAAUCAAUCGGAAACUCAACCCCAAAAAUAUCAAGUACACAGCCUCUAAUCACCUCGGUGGCAUACUCCGCUCUCUCAUCCGCUAUGGAAACUCUCAGAGGUCAACUCAACGCCUCUCGACUAAUACUGAUGUGUCGGCUAAAAGCCAACGAUACAAAAGAUCAACUCGCACCCAAGUCAAAUAACACUAGAUCAGGUAUAGAAUUCACAAGGAAAGUACCUACGCAUAACAUAAUAUAAGCACAAUAUCUCAAUAUACAAAAGAAUACAUGAAAGAGUACAUACCGGCCACGACAUCGGGUGCUGCGCGGACCUCCUCCGCAGUUAACUGGAAGGCUCUCCCGCGUGCCUUCGGUGCCUCGACCGUCGCAGGCCGAACAUCCGUAGCUCUCACCGUAGUAGGGGCCGAUCCCGGAGAUGCUCCCUGCGCUGACCCUCGCAACUGUGGACACUCUGCCUUCCGGUGUCCAGUCUGGUUGCAGUGAAAACAGACUGAAAACCCCUUGGGGCAAUCCUUGGCGAUAUGCCCCUCCUUGCCACACUUGUAGCAAGACCCUGCUCUGCAUAUCCCAUCGUGGCUCUUGCCGCACUUGCCACAAGUGCGGACCUUCUGGUUCCCAGAUCUUGAAUCAGAAGGUUUGGCCCACUUGGCUGCCGGCUGAGACUGAGCCGGCCGCCGAUCCUUUCCCUGAGACUCAACCUCCUCCCUAGCUUGGGUCUCCAACUCUAUUUCCCUCUUCCGGGAAUUUUCCUGAAGCUCAGCAAAUGUCUGGUACAAUGAGUUUGCCAUGAACUCUCGUAUAUCCCUCCUCAACACACUCAAAUACUGGCUCAUACGUGCCUGCUCGGAGGACACGUGCUCUGGGCAGAACAUCACCCUCUCAUGAAACUUCCGAGUAAUCGCUGUAACCGAAUCAGUACCCUGCUUGAGGGUCAGAAUUCCUGUGCCAAUCGCUCCCUCUCCACCUGGGGAACGUACUCAUAUUGGAACAUAGCAGUGAACCUCUCCCAGGUUACUGCAGCAACCUCAGCAGGCGUGUAGUGCACCGUCACAAACUUCCACCAGUCCUUCGCUCCCAAGCGAAGCUGGUUCAGUGCAAACCGAACUCUCAAAUGCUCAGGGGAUCAGCAAGUAAAGAAGCACCCCUCAAUGUCUGAUAUACAUCUCAUCGCUGCAAUCGGGUCCUAGGUCCCAUCGAACUCUAGUGGUUUCGUGUUGCUGAAUUCCCGGAACAGCAACGCAUCACCACUCUUCGGCCUCGUCGCAGCUAUAGCUGUAGUGGUUGCAGCAACAACAGCCUCAGAAAGAGCAACGUAUCUCUCGUCAAAUGUCUCAAUCAGAGUGGUCUUGAUAGACCCGAACAUCUCUGGUAUCUCUGCCCUGAUGGCCGCAACCACCUCCUCCUCCUGAAUGAUCCUAUGGAUCUCAGCCUCGCUCGUGCUACUGCUCUCUGGCGUGUAGCGUGUCCUACCAUGGUCUCCCUCUCAAAUACAAUAUAAGAAUAUUAGGGACCCCCUCGAGUAUAAUCACACUCGAUAACUCCACCCUACUUGUCCAUUAGUGCCCUAAGGAUUCUUACUUGGACUGCGUACCAACCUGGUAUCUUCAGUAGUACGGGCCCAAUACUACCGUCCAUACCGCAUCAGCAUUCAUCCCAAGUCCUCCUCCUUGAGCCCCAAAUCCCAAGUACUCUACUCUCUCUAUCAUGUGCUACUUAGUAGCAAAUCUCUUAUAAGCACCUCGCUGUUAUCCAAACACUCUUAAGCAUUUCUAGCAGCAAAAUCCCUAAACUAAGGCAUCAUAUAUUUGGCCACUCUAGUCCUAAUAAGAAUAUCUAGUCUACUCUAGCAUGCAUAUCGUAAUUCAUCAUAUAGCAUAACAUAACAUAUCUCAUAACACUUAUUAUGAGGGUAUUUUGGGAAAUCACUGUUCGGGCGCUGGCUGAUCGUACACACGACUCCGCUUUAUUUGUCUCAAAACUCUUUUUACUCUUUUUCAAAAAUUUUACGUUAUUAUUAAAAUUUUCCUCAAAUCCCCAGUUGAGUUCAGAUACGCCCGAAGAUGUAUCCGAAUCCCUCAAACCAAGGCUCUGAUAGAAACUUCUAACACCGUAAAAAUUUGAACAAUUUUUCACUUUUGAAAAUCCCUAAAAUAUCAUUUGUAAACAUAAAUAAAAACAUUGUGUCAACAUUGUAUCAGUUCAAAACCCAAGAUCAAAUAUAUAAACUCGAAUAUGCGUGUGUACGAAUCAUGCCGGCGCCUUCCCGCGAUCAUUGUUGGUACCUGAAACACAUAACACAUAACACUGUAAGCAUAAAUGCUUAGUGAGUUCCCCAAAACCCCCCUCUAACACAUAAUAGCCACUCGAGGCUGUAACUCUGUCGACCCUCGGGUCAAUGUGUCUCAGUGGGGCCCUCCAGCCCCAACUCUCUAUGGGCCCUCUAGCCCUAACUCUAUGGACCCGAAGGUCCUAACUAUGUAACUCUGAAUCACGCAUAUCACAUAUCACCAUAAAUCACAACACAUAAAUAACAUGCAAUUACACUGGCACAUAACUCUGGAAUACUUUAUUACCACACUAGGUAAAGUAUAAUGAGAAGAUUCACCUCAAGCGUCUCGGUAAAUCUUUGACUCGGUAGAAAUAUUGCCUAGCCUCCGCCUAUUCACAUAAAGUAAAUACUCUCAUAAAUAUAACUCUCGAGACUAGACUCAAUCCUCUAUUGGCACCCUCAGAAGGGUAAAAGACUAUUUUACCCCCUCUUGACACAAGGACUCCAUUGCUGACCAAACCCUAAAAGUCAACAAAAGUCAACGGUCAAACUUUGACCCAACUCACCGAGUGCACUCCGGUGACUCGGCGAGUACACACAUGUCCACUAACUCUUUGUCCCGCUUGGUACGUCGAGUCCCUCCCUAUGCUCGACGAGUCACACCAGGCAUGAAUCGCAGGGCCACCCCGACUCAACUCGCCGAGUCUCAAGAACAACUCGGCGAGUACCGCCUUGAACUCCAGUCCUCUAAUCCCCUUUUGACUCACUAAGUCAUCCUCCAACUCGGCAAGUCUACUCACUGAGUAAUUUACGUGAAACCCUAACUCUACUCGCCGAGUCUCAAGAACAACUCGGCGAGUUCAUGUCAUGCACAAACUCUAUUGACCUCCUGAGGUCAGAUCUGUGCCCCUACGCCAUAGAUCUGGCCUUCCCAAGCAUGAAUGCCACGUAAAGUCCAAAUCUUGAUGCUUAUAUAUCAAUAACAAGGCAUCAAAUGGUGAUUUAGUCCCAAAAAUGGCAACCUAAGUCCAAUAACCCCAAACUGAUUCAUAAAGCUCCAAGGGUUAAGGUCUCUGGACCUCCUUGAGCCCAGAUCCAAGGCACAAACUCGAAGAGGGACCAUUUUCUCCACAUAACCACUCUAAAAAGGGGUUAGAAAACCCUAUCUCUAAUGAUCAACACUAAAACUGGAGAAGGUUCGAACUAUUACCUCAAAAUGAAGUCUCUGAACUCUGGAACUGCUAGAAUCGCACCUCCUCUUGCUCUUGGUCACCUUCUUCUUGCUAAACCAAAGGUACAAGGAUCAAAUGUGACUUCUUCUUCCUCACAACGAUUUGGCUCACUUAGGGUUCUCUCAAGGGGCUGGUAGCCGCAAUGGGAGGCUAUAAGUGCCCUUAAAUAGGCCCCAAACCCGGGGGAUUAAGGUUUCAUUAAAUAGCGUGGACGCGUCGAGUCCACGAAUGGACUCGCCGAGUCCGGAUGUGAACCCGGAUGAACAUCCGCGACCAUACUCGGCGAGUCUUGGCACCAACUUGCCGAGUUCCUCCACAAACUCCAAAAUAAUUAAAUAAAAUAAUAUACCUGGAAAUCCGGAUGUUACAAUUCUCCCCCACUAGAAUCAGACUUCGUCCUCGUAGACUCACUCUGAAAACAACUCCGGAUGCUGCUCACGCAUCUCACGCUCCGGCUCCCAAGUAAGCUCUGACCCUUUCUGAUGUUGCCACUGGACCUGCACCAGAGGCACUUCCUUGUUCCUCAGAACCUUGAUCUUUCUAUCCUAAAUCGACACCGGUCUCUCAACAUAGUUCAGGUCCACAUCCACCUGAAUAUCCUCUAAUGGAACCACUGCCGACUCGUCGGCUAUACACUCUCUCAGCUGCGACACGUGGAAGGUGUCGUAAAUCUGAUCCAGCUCUGUAGGUAGCUCCAACCGGUAGGCUAACCUGCCUACCCUCAUGAUCACCCUAAAAGGACCAAUAUAUCAGGGUCCCAACUUGCCCC
rnacentral:lncRNA from 1 species